AUACGUAGGUGACAAGCGUUAUCCGGAUUUACUGGGCGUAAAGGGCGUGUAGGCGGUCUUGCAAGUCAGAAGUGAAAUUCCUGAGCUCAACUCGGGCGCUGCUUCUGAAACUGCAGGACUUGAGUGCUGGAGGGGAUAGCGGAAUUCCUAGUGGAGCGGUAAAAUGCGCAGAUAUUAGGAAGAACACCGGUGGAGAAGGCGGCAAUGUGGACAGUAACUGACGCUGAGGCGCGAAAGCGUGGGGAGCAAACAGGAUUAGAUACCCUGGUAGGCCACGCCGUAAACGAUGAAUACUAGGUGUAGGGGGUAUCGACUCCCUCUGUGCCGCAGUUAACACAAUAAGUAUUCCGCCUGGGGAGUACGGCCGCAAGGUUGAAACUCAAAUGAAUUGACGGGG
rnacentral:rRNA from 1 species